rnacentral:rRNA from 1 species
AUUGAACGCUGGCGGCAGGCCUAACACAUGCCAGUCGAGCGGAUGAAGGGAGCUUGCUCCUGGAUUCAGCGGCGGACGGGUGAGUAAUGCCUAGGAAUCUGCCUGGUAGUGGGGGAUAACGUCCGGAAACGGGCGCUAAUCCCGCAUACGUUCUGAGGGAGAAAGUGGUGGAUCUUCGGACCUCACGCUAUCAGAUGAGCCUAGGUCGGAUUAGCUAGUUGGUGGGGUAAAGGCCUACCAAGGCGACGAUCCGUAACUGGUCUGAGAGGAUGAUCAGUCACACUGGAACUGAGACACGGUCCAGACUCCUACGGGAGGCAGCAGUGGGGAAUAUUGGACAAUGGGCGAAAGCCUGAUCCAGCCAUGCCGCGUGUGUGAAGAAGGUCUUCGGAUUGUAAAGCACUUUAAGUUGGGAGGAAGGGCAGUAAGUUAAUACCUUGCUGUUUUGACGUUACCAACAGAAUAAGCACCGGCUAACUUCGUG